AUGAGACCAACCAGCCAGCUUCUUCUGCUCCUCUUCUUGGCAUGCAUCUUGCUCCUCUCCAUCCAGACCUCCGCUGCUGACAAGCUCGAGAAAGGCCAGAACCUCACUGACUCCAAUGGCGACACGCUUGUCUCGGCCGGCGGCUCCUUCACCCUAGGGUUCUUUUCUCCCGGGGUGUCCACUAAGAGGUACCUCGGCAUAUGGUUCUCGGUGUCCAACGACACCGUCUACUGGGUGGCCAACCGUGAUGACCCUCUCGGCGACACGUCCGGCAUGUUUGUGUUCAACGACGCUGCCACCCUCGUCCUGCUUGACGGCUCCCGCCGCACGGUCUGGUCUUCAGACUUCUCCAGCGGAAGCGCGGCUCAACUUCUCGAUUCCGGCAACCUGGUUGUGCGGAACGGCAGCAGUGACGCCUACCUGUGGCAGUCGUUCGACCACCCGUCGGACACCUUGCUGCCCGGCAUGAAGCUGGGUAAGAACUUCUGGACCAAAACCGAGUGGCAGCUCACGUCAUGGCGAUCAGCGGACGACCCGUCUCCGGGGGACUACGGCCGUACGCUGGAAACUAAGGGGUUACCGGAGCUCGUCCUGUGGCGUGGCAACGUCAAGACGUACCGCACGGGGCCAUGGAACGGUCUCUACUUCAACGGUGUCCCGGAGGCAUCGACGUACACGAACAUGUACCCGCUGCACAUGACCGGCCUGACGGGCAGGUCGACGGAGAUAACAUAUGGGUACACCGCCGUGCCCGGCGCACCACUGACCCGCGUCGUUGUGAACCACACUGGCGUGGUGGAGCCGCUGGUGUGGAACACCGACACAGGGGCGUGGAUCUCCUUCUUCAGCAGGGGGGCAAGGGACGUCACCUGCGAAGCCUAUGGCAAGUGCGGGGCGUCUGGCCUCUGCAACCCUGAGGCGGCAUUGUCCGGGUUCUGCGGCUGCCUGCCGGGGUUCAGCUCUGUAUCGGCUUCGGCGUGGCAGAUGAAGCAGUAUGCGGGCGGGUGCCAGCGCGACGCAGUUCUGGAGUGUCGUGGCGGGAAGACGACGGGCCGCUUCAAGGUGGUGUCAGGAGUGAAGCUUCCUGACACGCAGAAUGCGACCGUGGAUAUUGAUGUCGCUACGCUGGAGGAGUGCGAAGCGAGGUGCUAUGCCAACUGCUCAUGCUUGGCCUACGCUGCUGCUGAUACCAGAGGCGGCGGCAAUCGCAGUGGCUAUGUCAUGUGGGCGGAUGCCAUUGUUGAUCUUCGCCUCAUUGACAACAAGCAGGAUCUCUACCUCAGGUUGUCGAAAUCAGAAUUUGGUGAGCCAUCUGUGUCCAAGUUUCCUACUCGGAUUGUUAUAAUCGGUGUAUCUGUAUCCGUGAUCAUCAUCGUGGUUCUCCUUGCUUUCUUCUUUUUCAUCUGGAGACGAUCUCACAAUCCAGGAGGUUUUUCCGACCGAAACAUCAUUGGCAAAGGAGGAUUUAGCAACGUCUACAAGGGGAAGUUACGCGAUGGUACAGACCUUGCCGUUGAUGUUGCUGUAAAGAGGCUGAAACGCACUCGUCUUACUGAUAAAGGGAGGGAAGAUUUCUUAAGGGAAGUGGAAGUGAUGUCGACCCUCACGCAUGUCAAUCUUGCCGAGCUUCUCUACUAUUGCCAGGACCAGGAAGAAGAUGAGUGGAUACUAGUCUAUGAGUGGAUGGAGAAAAAAAGUUUAAAUCGCUACAUAUUUGGUACCCACUGCAAUGCAUGCCGUGUCAAUCUAUCAUUAUAUGCGCACAUGUAUCCAAAACUAUUCAUAUCUGUAUUUGGCCUCACGCACCUGUUUGGAAACGCAGGAGAACAAAACAUGCCCCGCUCUUCACCGAAUUGGGCGCAAAGACUGGAAAUAAUUCGUGGGGUUGCAGUAGGUGUUGAAUUCCUUCACAGCAAGCAAGUCAUUCACAGGGAUCUUAAACCUGGCAAUAUACUUCUGGAUGAUUCGUGGAACCCGAAGAUAGCAGACUUCGCCACUGCCAAGCUGUUCAUUGCCGACCAGACAGAUCCGACAGUAGUACUGACACCAGGAUAUGUCGCUCCAGAGUAUGCAGGAGCAGAGCGGACCCUGACGUACAAGUGUGAUGUAUAUAGCUUCGGAGUCGUCCUGCUGGAGAUAGUCAUCGGCAAAAGGAGAACAAGCAUGCCAACGUUCCUUCUUCAUGCCUGGGAAUUGUGGAAUCGUCGUGAUAUUGAGGAGCUUCUUGAUCAAGAAGUGGGCGAACUUGGCGAGCUCUUGUCAGCACUAGCCAGGUGCAUCCAGAUUGGCCUUCUCUGCGUGCAGAAUUUGCACCGGUCGCCUGAGGAGGACAGGCCUGCCAUGUCUGAAGUUGUGGCAAUGCUAACCAGCAGCGACUCACAGCUCCGAAUGCCAAGCUAUGAUAAUCAGGAGAGUGAAUAUUGUAUGGGCAAGUAA
rnacentral:rRNA from 1 species